AUUGAACGCUGGCGGCAUGCCUUACACAUGCAAGUCGAACGGCAGCACGAGCUUCGUCCUUGUCGCGAGUUGCGAACGGGUGAGUAAUGCAUCGGUACGUGACCAGUCGUGAGGGAUGGGCCGACGAAAGGCGAAUUGAUACCACAUCCGACCAGAGUUUGAACGCGAUGGACCGAAAGUCCUCGCCCUCUUGGCGGUGCCGAGGUCGGAUUAGCUAGUUGGUGUGGUAAAGGCUUACCAAGGCGACGAUCCGUAGCUGGUCUGGGAGGCCGACCAGCCACACUGGGACUGAGACACGGCCCAGACUCCUACGGGAGGCAGCAGUGGGGAAUUUUGGACAAUGGGGGCAAGCCUGAUCCAGCCAUGCCGCGUGCGUGAAGAAGGCCUUCGGGUUGUAAACCGCUUUUGUUAGGGAAGAAAACCUCUGGGCUAAUACCCCGGGGGGAUGACGGUACCGGAAGAAUAAGCACCGGCUAACUACGUG
rnacentral:rRNA from 1 species